ensembl:lncRNA
GUUAAGUUCUGAUGUUAGUAGAGACGAUUUUUUACUUUCUCUUUGUGUGUACGUAUUUGUGUGUUUCUUUUCCAGGGGUUUGAAUCAUCCAGAGGCAGAAUGAGGUAGUCCUAGGAAAGCUGAAUUAAAGCCCAUUCCUUAGGGCCUUCAGACUCAAAAAUGGACCUUAUUCAGAAAUAAUAUAACUACUGAUAGUAGCCAGGAAUCUUUGAGAUUCAUCUAGAAACCACCAGCCUUGGAAAUACAGACAGCUAAAAACUAUCCAAGAUACCAUGAGUAUGACAAAAAAUAAAGUCUCUUAUGGAGUCGUGUUCUAAUGGAGAGAUGGCAAAUAGACAACAAAAAAGAAGCAAGAAUAGUGUUAAAGCCAAGUGGAACAAGGCUACAUUGUGACUUGGAAAAUCACUCCUGAGGCUGCAUCUUUGAAAACGGUUCCAGCUGUGGGA